AUUGAACGCUGGCGGCAGGCCUAACACAUGCAAGUCGAGCGGAUGAAGGGAGCUUGCUCCUGGAUUCAGCGGCGGACGGGUGAGUAAUGCCUAGGAAUCUGCCUGGCAGUGGGGGAUAACGUCCGGAAGCGGGCGCUAAUACCGUAUACGUCCUGAGGGAGAACGUGGGGGAUCUUCGGACCUCACGCUAUCAGAUGAGCCUAGGUCGGGUUAGCUAGUUGGUGGGGUAAAGGCCUACCAAGGCGACGAUCCGUAACUGGUCUGAGAGGAUGAUCAGUCACACUGGAACUGAGACACGGUCCAGACUCCUACGGGAGGCAGCAGUGGGGAAUAUUGGACAAUGGGCGAAAGCCUGAUCCAGCCAUGCCGCGUGUGUGAAGAAGGUCUUCGGAUUGUAAAGCACUUUUAGUUGGGAAGAAGAGCAGUAAGUUAAUACCUUGCUGUUUUGACGUUACCAACAGAAUAAGCACCGGCUAACUUCGUG
rnacentral:rRNA from 1 species